rnacentral:rRNA from 1 species
CGGAGGGUGCGAGCGUUGUCCGGAAUCACUGGGCGUAAAGGGCGCGUAGGCGGCGCGGCCAGUCCGUGGUGAAAGCUCAGGGCUCAACUCUGAGUCGGCCAUGGAUACUGCUGCGCUCGAGCACUGUAGAGGCAGGUGGAAUUCCGGGUGUAGCGGUGGAAUGCGUAGAGAUCCGGAAGAACACCGGUGGCGAAGGCGGCCUGCUGGGCAGUAGCUGACGCUGAGGCGCGACAGCGUGGGGAGCAAACAGGAUUAGAUACCCUGGUAGUCCACGCCGUAAACGAUGGGCACUAGGUGCUUGGGGGAGCGACCCCUUGAGUGCCGGCGCUAACGCAUUAAGUGCCCCGCCUGGGGAGUACGGCCGCAAGGCUG